rnacentral:rRNA from 1 species
GAUGAACGCUGGCGGCGUGCUUAACACAUGCAAGUCGAACGGGAUCCAAGGAGCGUUUUUCGUUUUUUGGUGGGAGUGGCGAACGGGUGAGUAACACGUGAGUAACCUGUCCUUUUCUUUGGGAUAAGCUCCUGAAAGGGAGUUUAAUACCUUAUGUUCUGUCUGCCUCGCAUGGGGUGGGUGGGAAAGAUUUUUUCGGUGAAGGGGGGGCUCGCGGUCUAUCGGCUUGGUGGUGGGGUGAUGGCUUACCAAGGCUUUGACGGGUAGGCGGACUGAGAGGGAGGUCGGUCACGAUGGGAGUGAGAUACGGCCCAGACUGCUGCGGGAGGCAGCAGUGGGGGAUAUGGCACAAUGGGCGCAAGGCUGAUGCAGCGACGCCGCGUGGGGGAUGAAGGCCUUCGGGUUGUAAACUUCUUUUGCUCUGAACAAGGCGCAUCUUUGGGGUGUGUUGAGUGUAGGGGUUGAUUAGCGCCGGCUAACUACGUG